GAUGAACGCUGGCGGCGUGCCUAAUACAUGCAAGUCGAGCGAACGGACGAGAAGCUUGCUUCUCUGAUGUUAGCGGCGGACGGGUGAGUAACACGUGGAUAACCUACCUAUAAGACUGGGAUAACUUCGGGAAACCGGAGCUAAUACCGGAUGAUAUUUUGAACCGCAUGGUUCAAAAGUGAAAGACGAUCUUGCUGUCACUUAUAGAUGGAUCCGCGCUGCAUUAGCUAGUUGGUAAGGUAACGGCUUACCAAGGAAACGAUGCAUAGCCGACCUGAGAGGGUGAUCGGCCACACUGGAACUGAGACACGGUCCAGACUCCUACGGGAGGCAGCAGUAGGGAAUCUUCCGCAAUGGGCGAAAGCCUGACGGAGCAACGCCGCGUGAGUGAUGAAGGUCUUCGGAUCGUAAAACUCUGUUAUUAGGGAAGAACAUAUGUGUAAGUAACUGUGCACAUCUUGACGGUGCCUAAUCAGAAAGCCACGGCUAACUACGUG
rnacentral:rRNA from 1 species